AGAGUUUGAUCCUGGCUCAGGAUGAACGCUAGCGGCAGGCCUAAUACAUGCAAGUCGAGCGGCAAGUCGAGGAGUAAUCUGAGACCUAGAGCGGCGUACGGGUGCGUAACGCGUAUGCAACCUACCUCAUACAGGGGGAUAGCCCGGAGAAAUCUGGAUUAAUACCCCAUAGCACAGCACAAGGGCAUCUGCGAGCUGUUAAAGAUUCAUCGGUAUGAGAUGGGCAUGCGUCUGAUUAGCUAGUUGGCGGUGUAACGGACCACCAAGGCGACGAUCAGUAGGGGUUCUGAGAGGAAGGUCCCCCACACUGGCACUGAGAUACGGGCCAGACUCCUACGGGAGGCAGCAGUAGGGAAUAUUGGGCAAUGGACGAGAGUCUGACCCAGCCAUGCCGCGUGCAGGAAGACGGCGUUCUGCGUUGUAAACUGCUUUUAUCUGGGAAGAAAAGGCCCAUGCGUGGGACAUUGCCGGUACCAGAUGAAUAAGCACCGGCUAACUCCGUGCCAGCAGCCGCGGUAAUACGGAGGGUGCAAGCGUUGUCCGGAUUUAUUGGGUUUAAAGGGUGCGUAGGCGGCUAUUUAAGCCAGCGGUGAAAGACAUCGGCUCAACCGAUGCAGUGCCAUUGAUACUGGAUAGCUUGAGUGUUGGAGGGGUACAUGGAAUUGAUGGUGUAGCGGUGAAAUGCAUAGAUACCAUCAGGAACACCGAUAGCGAAGGCAUUGUACUGGCCAACAACUGACGCUGAGGCACGAAAGCAUGGGGAGCGAACAGGAUUAGAUACCCUGGUAGUCCAUGCCGUAAACGAUGAUUACUCGCUGUUAUGCUGUACAGUGUAGCGGCCAAGCGAAAGCGUUAAGUAAUCCACCUGGGGGAGUAC
rnacentral:rRNA from 1 species